AAGUUGGGGUGUGGGCCCUAACACAGAAAAUUCAUUUUAUUGAAUUUUACAUUUAUGUGCCAGACGGGCAAAGCGAAGCCAUUCAAUACGAAGUAUUGUAUAAAUAGAGAACAGCAG
rnacentral:ncRNA from 1 species